UUGGAGACAGCUAUCAGCCCUACCCUGGAUGUCAGGCAGACACAGCGCAGUAAACACUGCUGGGACACCAGGACCAUGGCCCGACUGGUUCAGGUGUGGACAGUGUCUGUAUGGACAGCAGUGACCUUCCAUGCCCUACACGCACUGGAGGUCCAGUACCCUGCACUGGGCACAUUCCACACUGUUAGCUGCGAGUGCAAUGAAAAGAACUGCCCGGCUGUGCUCUGGUUCCGGAAACGCCAUAAUCACAGCCAGCAUGAAAUGGAGUUCCUCCUUUACUACAACAAUGCAAACAGAGCCAUUUACGCAGAAAGUAAGCUGGAGAAUUCAUUCAAGGGUGACCAAAAGGGCAACUGGAAGAUAACCUACAACCUGAAGAUCAUGUCUGUAAAGACGGAAGACGCGGGCCUUUACUUCUGCCUUAUGCAGUACCAUAACCGUUUGGAUUUCGGGAGCAACGGGGUUGACCUGCAACCUGGAAAAACACCCCCAACUUCUGCGCCAGCUGUGGUCAAAACGCCGAAGAAACCCUGUCCCUGUCACAACCAAAAGCAGCCUGAACAGAAGGAAUGUAGUCGACACAUCCUAUGGCCAUUGACUGGAGUUCUCCUAAGUCUUGCCGUAGUACUCUUCAGCACACUGUAUUACUUCAGUCGACUUCCUAAGAAGUGUCGUCACAGGUUUGCAAAGUCAGUCUCUCAGACAGUCCCACGAAAAACCAAUAUGAAUAUAUAACAUUAUGGUAUAUAAUAUAUACAAAAUUUAUCGAGAGGCAUCCAAGCUAUACAUUGUGGACGAUUCAGCACGUAUUUCGCCACUUGCGCCAUGUGGCAAGAACCAAAACAAACAGAUUGUAUUGCCACUAUAGGGUUUAGUUAAAUGUGCGUGAUAUUGUAUCUCAUGUUAUACAGUAUAUUUGACCUCUUCCAUACAUUGUGUGUAUGUGGAUUAUUUUUAUAUUACAUUGUGGGGACCAAAUUCUCCCCUCAAUGUAAUGAAAACCUGUUAUUUUAACGUUGUGGGAAUCAUUUUUCAGGACUCCACAAAAAACGAAAAAAUGCCAAAAGUCUCGUAUUUAGUUUGGUUACUUAUGAUUAGGGUUAGGGCUGGGUAGGGGUUAAGGUCAUCAUGCUGGGAUUAGGGUUUUCCCCAUAGAAAUGAAUGGAGAGUCCCUAGAAAGACAUAACUACAAACCUGUGUGUGUGUGUGUGUGUGUGUGUGUGUAUACACAUAAUACCAAUGUUGAACAUAUUCAAAAUUACAAAUUUGCAGUUGAAAAUUUUGCUCAUGUGAUGUUUCCUAAGAUCAUUUCACCUUUAUCUCAGUGUUUCUGUUUUUUGUAUCCUUAGGAAGCAGCCCCUCAUGUGAUAUUUGGACACCAUAAGGACAAAUUUUUAAUGUCUAUCUUCUAUCUUAUCCUGGUUUUUUUAUGUGUUAUACAUAAAUGCACCACUCACCUCACACUCCAAGGGAACGCCCUGAUUUUUGUAUCAGCAACAUUGAAUAAGAGAAAAUAUAUGAUAAAAAAACUAUAUAUAACAUUUGUAAUAAAAAUCUAUGAAACAUUAAUGCAAAUGUGUAAUAACUGACAGUAGAUUUCUCUUUAGCUGGUCAUUGUAUUUGUCAAAGCAUUUCUAUUUUAUCAUUGUGGCCAUAGAUUGACAUACGUUUCAUGUUUUGAGAAAUGUGUUCCUUUUCAUGACACUGUUGACUUUCGGUUGGGGGUCCUGAUAGCUGGUAACCCCCAGCUUCAGUCAGCUCUCACCAUGGAUUUCCCCUUAGUGCCUCACACUCACAAUCAUAUUGCUCUGGCAACGAUUACAGCCGAUGCUACAAUUUUCUUUAAAAAAAAAAAAGGAAAAAAAACUGAUGCUAGAUCAUGUGUUAAUACAUAACAAACAGCAUUGUGCUUUGUGUGGGAAAAAUGGAUACAAUUUCUGCUAUUUGUUUUUAGAUGUUUUUUGUACAAACUGUAUAUAUUGUUUUCCAUUUGCAAUACAAACGUACAUAUAUUUUAAUAACAUCAUGUAUUAAAAUAUUUUGUGAUAUGUCCUACUUCGGCUCAAAAUCUUGAAUAAACAUGUACUUUGUGUAUGACA